rnacentral:rRNA from 7 species
ACGACUCUCGGCAACGGAUAUCUCGGCUCACGCAUCGAUGAAGAACGUAGCAAAAUGCGAUACUUGGUGUGAAUUGCAGAAUCCCGUGAACCAUCGAGUUUUUGAACGCAAGUUGCGCCCAAAGCCAUUUGGUUGAGGGCACGUCUGCCUGGGCGUCACGC